rnacentral:rRNA from 1 species
AUUGAACGCUGGCGGCAUGCCUUACACAUGCAAGUCGAACGGUAACAGGUCUUCGGAUGCUGACGAGUGGCGAACGGGUGAGUAAUACAUCGGAACGUGCCUAGUAGUGGGGGAUAACUACUCGAAAGAGUGGCUAAUACCGCAUGAGAUCUACGGAUGAAAGCAGGGGAUCGCAAGACCUUGUGCUACUAGAGCGGCCGAUGGCAGAUUGGGUAGUUGGUGGGAUAAAAGCUUACCAAGCCGACGAUCUGUAGCUGGUCCGAGAGGACGAUCAGCCACACUGGGACUGAGACACGGCCCAGACUCCUACGGGAGGCAGCAGUGGGGAAUUUUGGACAAUGGGCGCAAGCCUGAUCCAGCAAUGCCGCGUGCAGGAUGAAGGCCUUCGGGUUGUAGGCUGCUUUUGUACGGAACGAAAAGCCCUGGGUUAAUACCCUGGGGUCAUGACGGUACCGUAAGAAUAAGCACCGGCUAACUACGUGCCAGCCGCCGCUGUAACAC